CCCUUAGAUGUUCUGGGCCGCACGCGCGCUACACUGAUGCAUUCAACGAGUCUAAAACCUGCUCUGAUAGGGGUGGGUAAUCUUUUGAAUGUGCAUCGUGAUUGGGAUAGAUGAUUGCAAUUUUUCAUCUUCAACGAGGAAUGCCUAGUAAACGCAAGUCAUCAGCUUGCAUUGAUUACGUCCCUGCCCUUUGUACACACCGCCCGUCGCUCCUACCGAUUGAAUGGUCCGAUGAAUAUCAUGGAUUGAGGAUGCAAGCAGGUUCGCCUGUCUUCAUCUUCGAGAAGUGAAGUAAAUCUUAUCAUUUAGAGGAAGGAGAAGUCGUAACA
rnacentral:rRNA from 1 species